rnacentral:lncRNA from 1 species
AAGUGGUGUUGCAGUAAAAAAGCCAUCUGUACAAUUCUUUUUCUGUCAUUGAAGAAAACAGAGGUAAUGAUCAACAUUCAUUAUUUAGGUAGUUGCAGUGCAAACUGCAUUGCUCAGACAUUUAUGAAGAUAAAACUGUCCUUGUCCCAUACAAUAUGCAAAGAUCAGUCUUAACUGAAACUGAUGAAAAGUUCCUGGUGGAAAUUGGGCUAGGAUGCUUGAGCAGGAAAGGGCAGAACUGAUCUUUAAGUAUCACAAUGUACAGCAGCAAUUUAAAACUGUAAAUUAGACCUGUACUAACAUAGGCAGUCUUCUUUUUCUGUUUAUCUAUUGAUUCUUUCCCCCUAUUGAAGUGGUCAAACAAAACACUGUUCCCAAGCACUUGAAAUAAAAAACAAGGAAACAAAAGGCUAGAAUCACAAAAUUGCCAGCAGAGAUACUGCUACUUCUGCUAGCCGCUAAUCUGACAGACUGAGCACUGAUCUGGAAUUGCAGGAGGUGGUUUAAGAAUUCCCCUGAGCUCACAUGGAGUUAAACACACAAUAUAAGAUAUUGCCUUACACAAUGGGGCUUGAUACGAUAUUCUGUCUUUCUCUAGGGUCUUUAUCAUUGUCUUGAGACUGCUGAACACAUUGCUGUUACCUGCUCCAGUGACACUGAUGAGUCAGAGGAAUUCAGCUACUGUCCAGUGUUUAUGCCUUGAUUCAUCUUUGAUCAUUGGGAGAUAUUUGAGGGAUUGGUCCAGUGAGAUUGCCUGUCCUGGAUCUCCCUGCCUCUCUGGCCAUCUUCUCUUUCUCAUCAUCAGUGUCUCCAUUUGCAGCUUCUCUACAACCUGUCCUAAAUAAUUCAUAAUGAAGUCACUAUGAAACUUUCUAUUUCCUUCAGAAGAGUAAUAUGUAACUUUGGAUUUUGUAAUUUUUGAUUUAGGUGUGUAUUUAAAGUAAAUCAUUUAUUUUCUUCAAAUACAUCAUUUCAGAGUCAACAUUAAUUCCUUGGCAGAUGGAAGAGCUUUUAUUCUUUCAACAGAAAUUAGAUUAUGACACCAGAGAUCAGAUCCAGAGAGAACACCCAAAGGCACUCUCGAGAUCUGUCUUGUUGUCUUUGCUGACAGUAAACUUGGAAGCCCAACUCAUUGCCACAGCUGAAGAGUGCUUUCCAGAACACUCAGGACCCAUAUUUUAUGCCAUAGUUGUCAUUUUACUGCAACCUGUGGAAACAUAAAAUCCUACCAAGCGUUCCUGGUGAGGCCACCCAUGAGGAUAUUAUAUGUCAGGAGAAUUGAUGUGACAUUACAUAGGCAUGAUUUGAUUUUCUUCGGGUCCGUGGAAAGAAGUGAGGAUGAGUGUAACUGCUCUUGUGUAGAAUUUUCUAGCAGCUGUGCUAAAUCAAGCCACGGGAGCCAUGUUUUUGAAGCUCUGCACAAACCAUGGUCUUGAAAAGAAAUGGGAUAAGUGCCUUCAACAUAUCUGCUCUUGCAUUUCCAUGUCCAGAAUGCAAAUGCUUGCUGGGAACACACUUUGUAUUUCUGAUGGAAUGCGUUGGCGUGUGAGAUUUUCAAGCAGUCAGAAACAUGUCAGUAGCACAGAACUUCAAAAGUACUUCACAAAAUAGAAUGGCUACAUGCUUCCACUGUAGAAAAAUAUUUUGAAACAAAUUUAAGGCAAUAAACUUAAGGAAAAAAAGUUGAAUAGUUACA